UUGAAGUCGAGAAUGAAAGGAAAAAUUAAAAUAAACUGUCUUAGAAGUUUUUUUUGAAAAUUGCUGAUAUGGUGAAAAUUCCAUAGAAAAUUUUAAUAGACGAGAAGACCCUAUGAAUUAUUUAUUAAAAAAUUUUUUUUGGAAAAUUUUAAAUUUUUGUUGGGGCAACAGGAAAUAAUCGAAAAAAUUUCAUUUUGGAUAUAUAACAUUUGAAGUUUUACUAUAAGUGAAUUUAAUU
rnacentral:rRNA from 1 species